rnacentral:misc_RNA from 1 species
AGUACUUUUUAAUGAGUUUCAGGAAAUUUUAGAAACUUUUUUAGCUGAACAACAUUUGUCCAUAUUUUGCUCAAGGUGCAGUUAUCUUUUAAGGGGUCAGUACAAUGAUCAAUGAUGUACAACUCGUUUUAGUGGGUGUUCGAAUGGUUUGAUAAUGAACAUGAUGUAGAUAUACUUAAUUCAUGAUGAUCAUUUUUUAUGGUUACUCAUGCAUGUCCAGUUGUAAAACCAGUCAUUCCAUUUAUUAACUGAUGUCCAUGUCUAUUCUCGCAUUGCUUAUAAUAUAUUAUACGAACUAGAAGUCACUUAUCUGAAAUAAAAGAAGUAUUUUCUUUUC